rnacentral:rRNA from 1 species
CGGGAUUUGUUUCAGCCGCCGCGGUAAUGCGUAGGGUGCAAGCGUUAAUCGGAAUUACUGGGCGUAAAGCGUGCGCAGGCGGUUAUGCAAGACAGAGGUGAAAUCCCCGGGCUCAACCUGGGAACUGCCUUUGUGACUGCAUGGCUAGAGUACGGUAGAGGGGGAUGGAAUUCCGCGUGUAGCAGUGAAAUGCGUAGAUAUGCGGAGGAACACCGAUGGCGAAGGCAAUCCCCUGGACCUGUACUGACGCUCAUGCACGAAAGCGUGGGAAGCAAACAGGAUUAGAUACCCUGGUAGUCCACGCCCUAAACGAUGUCAACUGGUUGUUGGGAGGGUUUCUUCUCAGUAACGUAGCUAACGCGUGAAGUUGACCGCCUGGGGAGUACGGCCGCAAGGUUGAAACUCAAAGGAAUUGACGGGGACCCGCACAAGCGGUGGAUGAUGUGGUUUAAUUCGAUGCAACGCGAAAAACCUUACCUACCCUUGACAUGCCAGGAAUCCUGAAGAGAUUUGGGAGUGCUCGAAAGAGAGCCUGGACACAGGUGCUGCAUGGCCGUCGUCAGCUCGUGUCGUGAGAUGUUGGGUUAAGUCCCGCAACGAGCGCAACCCUUGUCAUUAGUUGCUACGAAAGGGCACUCUAAUGAGACUGCCGGUGACAAACCGGAGGAAGGUGGGGAUGACGUCAGGUCAUCAUGGCCCUUAUGGGUAGGGCUACACACGUCAUACAAUGGCCGGGACAGAGGGCUGCCAACCCGCGAGGGGGAGCUAAUCCCAGAAACCCGGUCGUAGUCCGGAUCGUAGUCUGCAACUCGACUGCGUGAAGUCGGAAUCGCUAGUAAUCGCGGAUCAGCUUGCCGCGGUGAAUACGUUCCCGGGUCUUGUACACACCGCCCGUCAAAC